AUUGAACGCUGGCGGCAGGCUUAACACAUGCAAGUCGAGCGAGUGGCGGACGGGUGAGUAAUGUCUGGGAAACUGCCUGAUGGAGGGGGAUAACUACUGGAAACGGUAGCUAAUACCGCAUACCAUCAGAUGUGCCCAGAUGGGAUUAGCUAGUAGGUGGGGUAAUGGCUCACCUAGGCGACGAUCCCUAGCUGGUCUGAGAGGAUGACCAGCCACACUGGAACUGAGACACGGUCCAGACUCCUACGGGAGGCAGCAGGUGGGAAUAUUGCACAAUGGGCGCAAGGCUGGUGCAGCCAUUCCGGGUGUGAGAAGAAGGCCUUUGGGUUGUAAAACACUUUCAGCGAAGAGGCGUUACUCGCCGAAGAAGCACCGGCUAACUCCGGGCCAGCAGCCCCGGUAAUAC
rnacentral:rRNA from 1 species